AUAUUUUCAGGCAGCUAUUGAGCUUUUCUAGAGGAAGAGCUGAUGAAAAGAGUCACAGCUGAAUAGUGGAGAGAAAAAGCCCGGUAUUUAUUGCUUUUGUUUGGCUUUUGGCUACAGAGACAGGAACCUUCUAAUGGGCCACCUCGUUCCACACUACAAAGACCCAGAGGACACCGGACCACCAGACCACUGUACUGGGAGCUCACACCUAAGAGGUUGCUUUCAGUGGCAGAGGAAACACUGGACUUUUUUUCAGUAAUGAUGGAACUGUUAAGGCUCUGACAACUCUUAGAGAUUGUGCAAAUGUAUUUUGUAUAGUGGGAUGGACAUGAGACUUUGGGGAUCAAGGGUGGAAUGUUAUGAUUUAUACCUGUCCCCAAAAAGUCUUGUGUUAGAGGGUGUGAGUCACUGGCACUAUGACCUGGAAAGUAAUAUUCGCAUCCUUCGCUCUCUGGUUCUGGCUCUCUCUCUCUCUCUCUCUCUCUGCUUCCUGGCUCUGGCCACCAGGAUGUGAACAACUUUACUUCUCUAUACCCUUCCAUCAUGCCUCUCUGCCUCGCUCUGCCUUGGAUUCAGUUCAACAUGCAUAGGUUGAAA
rnacentral:lncRNA from 1 species